rnacentral:rRNA from 1 species
GACGAACGCUGGCGGCGUGCUUAACACAUGCAAGUCGAACGGAAAGGCCCUGCUUUUGUGGGGUGCUCGAGUGGCGAACGCGUGAGUAACGCGUGAGUAACCUGCCCUUGACUUUGGGAUAACUUCAGGAAACUGGGGCUAAUACCGGAUAGGAGCUCCUGCUGCAUGGUGGGGGUUGGAAAGUUUCGGCGGUUGGGGAUGGACUCGCGGCUUAUCAGCUUGUUGGUGGGGUAGUGGCUUACCAAGGCUUUGACGGGUAGCCGGCCUGAGAGGGUGACCGGCCACAUUGGGACUGAGAUACGGCCCAGACUCCUACGGGAGGCAGCAGUGGGGAAUAUUGCACAAUGGGCGGAAGCCUGAUGCAGCAACGCCGCGUGCGGGAUGACGGCCUUCGGGUUGUAAACCGCUUUCGCCUGUGACGAAGCGUGAGUGACGGUAAUGGGUAAAGAAGCACCGGCUAACUACGUG